rnacentral:rRNA from 1 species
GACUAGAGUUUGAUCCUGGCUCAGAACGAACGUUAGCGGCGCGCUUAACACAUGCAAGUCGCACGAGAAAGGGCUUCGGCCCCGGUAAAGUGGCGCACGGGUGAGUAACACGUAGGUAACCUACCCUCGAGUGGUGGAUAACCCUCCGAAAGGAGAGCUAAUACAGCAUAAGACCACGGCAUUCAGAUGCUGCGGAAAAAGCGGGCCUCUCUAUAGAAGCUCGUGCUCGAGGAUGGGCCUGCGGCCCAUCAUGCUAGUUGGCGAGGUAAUGGCUCACCAAGGCUAAGACGGGUAGCUGGUCUGAGAGGAUGAACAGCCACACUGGAACUGAGACACGGUCCAGACUCCUACGGGAGGCAGCAGUGGGAAUCUUGCGCAAUGGGCGAAAGCCUGACGCAGCGACGCCGCGUGAGCGAUGAAGGCCUUCGGGUUGUAAAGCUCUGUGGGGAGGGAAGAAUAAGCCUAGGCUAAUACCACUAGGUGAUGACGGUACCUCCUUAGCAAGCACCGGCUAACUCUGUGCCAGCAGCCGCGGUAA